UACGGAGGGAGCUAGCGUUAUUCGGAAUUACUGGGCGUAAAGCGCACGUAGGCGGCUUUGUAAGUAAGAGGUGAAAGCCCAGAGCUCAACUCUGGAAUUGCCUUUUAGACUGCAUCGCUUGAAUCAUGGAGAGGUCAGUGGAAUUCCGAGUGUAGAGGUGAAAUUCGUAGAUAUUCGGAAGAACACCAGUGGCGAAGGCGGCUGACUGGACAUGUACUGACGCUGAGGUGCGAAAGCGUGGGGAGCAAACAGG
rnacentral:rRNA from 1 species